AGUUGUUGCAGUUAAAAAGCUCGUAGUUGGAUUUCGGUUAAGAGCGACCGGUCCGCCGUUUGGUGUGCACUGGUUGGUUUUAACUUCCUGUAGAGGACGUGCUCUGGGUUUAACGACCUGGACUCGGAGUCUACGUGGUUACUUUGAAAAAAUUAGAGUGUUCAAAGCGGGCUUACGCUUGAAUAUUUCAGCAUGGAAUAACACUAUAGGACUCCUGUCCUAUUUCGUUGGUCUCGGGACGGGAGUAAUGAUUAAGAGGAACAGUUGGGGGCAUUCGUAUUUCAUUGUCAGAGGUGAAAUUCUUGGAUUUAUGAAAGACGAACUUCUGCGAAAGCAUUUGCCAAGGAUGUUUUCAUUAAUCAAGAACGAAAGUUGGGGGCUCGAAGAUGAUUAGAUACCAUCCUAGUCUCAACCAUAAACGAUGCCGACUAGGGAUUGGCGGUCGUUUUUCCGACUCCGUCAGCACCUUAUGAGAAAUCAAAGUCUUUGGGUUCCGGGGGGAGUAUGGUCGCAAGGCUGAAACUUAAAGAAAUUGACGGAAGGGCACCACCAGGAGUGGAGCCUGCGGCUUGAUUUGACUCAACACGGGAAAACUUAC
rnacentral:rRNA from 1 species